rnacentral:rRNA from 1 species
AGCGAACGCUGGCGGCAGGCUUAACACAUGCAAGUCGAGCGGGCACUUCGGUGUCAGCGGCAGACGGGUGAGUAACACGUGGGAACGUGCCCUUCGGUUCGGAAUAACUCAGGGAAACUUGAGCUAAUACCGGAUACGCCCUUUGGGGGAAAGGUUUACUGCCGAAGGAUCGGCCCGCGUCUGAUUAGCUAGUUGGUGGGGUAAAAGCCUACCAAGGCUACGAUCCGUAGCUGGUCUGAGAGGACGACCAGCCACACUGGAACUGAGACACGGUCCAGACUCCUACGGGAGGCAGCAGUGGGGAAUUUUGGACAAUGGGCGCAAGCCUGAUCCAGCCAUGCCGCGUGGGUGAAGAAGGCCUGGUU